rnacentral:rRNA from 1 species
GACGAACGCUGGCGGCGUGCUUAACACAUGCAAGUCGAACGAAGAGCGAUGGAAGCUUGCUUCUAUCAAUCUUAGUGGCGAACGGGUGAGUAACGCGUAAUCAACCUGCCCUUCAGAGGGGGACAACAGUUGGAAACGACUGCUAAUACCGCAUACGAUCUAAACUCGGCAUCGAGGAUAGAUGAAAGGUGGCCUCUACAUGUAAGCUAUCACUGAAGGAGGGGAUUGCGUCUGAUUAGCUAGUUGGAGGGGUAACGGCCCACCAAGGCGAUGAUCAGUAGGCGGUCUGGAAGGAUGAACGACCACAUUGGGACUGAGACACGGCCCAGACGCCUACGGGAGGCAGCAGUGGGGAAGCUUCCGCAAUGGACGAAAGUCUGACGGAGCAACGCCGCGUGAGUGAUGACGGCCUUCGGGUUGUAAAGCUCUGUUAAUCGGGACGAAAGGCCUUCUUGCGAAUAGUGAGAAGGAUUGACGGUACCGGAAUAGAAAGCCACGGCUAACUACGUG